rnacentral:snRNA from 14 species
UUUGGAGGGGUGCUAGCCUAAGGUCGACCCAAGUGGUCGAGCCUACGUCAUAAUUUGUGGUAGCGGGGGCCUGCGUUCGCGCAGCCCCUAU